rnacentral:rRNA from 1 species
AGAGUUUGAUCAUGGCUCAGAAUCAACGCUGGCGGCGUGCCUCAGACAUGCAAGUCGAACGAUUAAAGCUCUCUUCGGAGAGUGUAUAGAGUGGCGCACGGGUGAGUAACACGUAAGUAAUCUACCUUUGAGUGGGGAAUAACGUCCGGAAACGGACGCUAAUACCGCAUAAUGCAGCGGCAUCGCAAGAUGACAGUUGUUAAAGAUUUAUCGCUUGAAGAGGAGCUUGCGGCAGAUUAGCUAGUUGGUAAGGUAAUGGCUUACCAAGGCUACGAUCUGUAACCGGUCUAAGAGGACGGUCGGUCACACUGACACUGAAUAACGGGUCAGACUUCUACGGGAGGCAGCAGUCGGGAAUUUUGGGCAAUGGGCGAAAGCCUGACCCAGCAACGCCGCGUGAAGGAUGAAGUAUUUCGGUAUGUAAACUUCGAAAGAAUGGGAAGAAUAAAUGACGGUACCAUUUAUAAGGUCCGGCUAACUACGUGCCAGCAGCCGCGGUAAUACGUAGGGACCAAGCGUUGUUCGGAUUUACUGGGCGUAAAGGGCGCGUAGGCGGCCCUACAAGUCACUUGUGAAAUCUCCGGGCUUAACUCGGAAUGGCCAAGUGAAACUGUAAGGCUAGAGUGCAGAAGGGGCAAUCGGAAUUCUUGGUGUAGCGGUGAAAUGCGUAGAUAUCAAGAGGAACACCUGAGGUGAAGACGGGUUGCUGGGCUGACACUGACGCUGAGGCGCGAAAGCCAGGGGAGCAAACGGGAUUAGAUACCCCGGUAGUCCUGGCCCUAAACGAUGAAUACUUGGUGUCUGGAGUAAAUAGUGCUCCGGGUGCCGUCGCUAACGUUUUUAGUAUUCCGCCUGGGGAGUACGCUCGCAAGAGUGAAACUCAAGGAAUUGACGGGGACCCGCACAAGCGGUGGAGCAUGUGGUUUAUUCGACGCAACGCGAAGAACCUUACCUAGGCUAGAAUGUGAGGGAAUUGUUGGUUAACGCCAUCAGUCUUGAGAAUUCAGACCCAAAACAGUGCUGCAUGCUGUCGUCAGCUCGUGUCGUGAGAUGUUUGGGUUAGUCCCGCACGAGCGCACCUUUAUUCACCAGGUUGCAAUCAUUAGUUUGGGACUUCUGUUGAACUGCCGUGGAUACCGAGACGUGGAUGUGAUGUUUCCAGGUUCAUCUAUGUGCCCUCUUAUUAGUGUGCCCUCUAUU